rnacentral:lncRNA from 1 species
CCUUUGUUGGUUGCACUGGCAUUGGUCAUUCUAGUGCCCCACUUUCUGUCUCUCUUAGUUCUGUCUUUUACUUUUUUUCCUCAGGCCUGCAUCAUACACUGUGCAGGAGACUGGAGCCUACUGCAGAGGUUUCUGGUUAUGUUUCAGGGGUUCCCAGUAAUGACUUCUUAAACGGUUCUUUAAAAUAUGUAAAUAAAUAUAAAAGCACAUGUAUGCUUGCACACAUAAAGUGAAAACAAUUUGAUAAAACAAAUGGAGAAAAAUUAGGCAAUUACUAAUCUUGCAAUCUUAAAUUACCACCAACUAUUUUACCUAGGACUAAGGAGUUUUGCCGAACUGAAACUCUGCUCACUUCAACCAGCAAAGCCUCAGGCAAACCAGGGCAAGUGGUUGCCUUGCACUCACCUUUUCUGGAGUACCCAGAACAGAGGGAUUUCCUUGUUUUGUUUAAAUGAGGAAGAUCUGUAGGAGAAACAUGGCUUUGGACAUCAAAGGAAGAGAGCUCCAUGUCUGUUCCCAGGAACCCCAUGUGCUCUGCUUACUUUCUUUGCCUCAUUCAUCCUGCCAUGAAGUGCUAUCAACAGGCUGAGAAGAACAGAUGUGGAAAACAAAAAUAAAUCUGACUUGAUAGUGUAAUGGGGGUCAUAUGAAUACAAAGUAUAGACAAAAGUA